GUUAACUGACUGUGGUGGUCUGUUCCUGUAAUCCCAGCACUUGGGAAGUGGAGGCAGGGAGAUCUGAAGUUCAAAGCCAUCCUCAGCUACUA
ensembl:miRNA